CUUUGGCGGCCGCAGGGGGAGCUCUUUAGGCGGCCGCAGGGGGAGCUCUUUAGGCAACCGCAGGGGGGGGGCUGUCUGUUCUGGCGGCCGCAGGGGGAGCAGGCUGUUCUGUCUCUGCUCCACCUCCGCUACAAAGAGACCGGGGCCGGAAUAUGACGCGCGCUGGGGAGGGGGAGCAGAGACAGAACAGCCUGCUCCCCCUGCAGCCGUCUAAAGAGCUCCCUCUGCGGCCGCAGGUGAGC